GAUGCAGAACGUAGCGAAAUGCGAUAAGUAAUGUGAAUUGCAGAAUUCAGUGAAUCAUCGAAUCUUUGAACGCACAUUGCGCCCCUUGGUAUCCCGAGGGGCAUGCCUGUUCGAGCGUCAUUUCACCACUCAAGCCUGGCUUGGUGUUGGGCGACGUCCCCUUUGGGGACGCGCCUCGAAACGCUCGGCGGCGUGGCACCGGCUUUAAGCGUAGCAGAAUCUUUCGCUUUGGAAGUCGGGGCCCCGUCUGCCGGAAGACCUACUCGCAAGGUUGACCUCGGAUCAGGCAGGGAUACCCGCUGAACUUAAGCAUAUCAAUAAGCGGAGGA
rnacentral:misc_RNA from 1 species